CUUCAAAUGUGUAGAUGUACAUGAAACCUGUUAGCUUACUUCUGUUUUCCUAGCUGAUAUGCAUACUCUGUUUGGAAGAAAAUGGAGUUUUGUUUGUUUGAGGAAGGAGCAGAGGAAAGACAGGAUCAGAGGAAGCACUGGAGGAGGUGUGACUGAAUAUGCUAGAGAAGCUGGAGAAGCAGAGGUGAAAUAAAGAGGCUUUUCAGUGGAUGGUAGAAGGAAGAAAAUCAUCUCUCCUUGCUGUCUGAAGUAAGAAUGGAAGUAUUCUGAAGGGACAUUGUAAGAACUUCAUUUAGCACCAUGGAUGGUUUCACAUUCUCUCUUGCAUCUUAAUGAGGUAAGCAUCACCUCAAGGAUUGCAGUGAGUGUGUAAUGACUUUUAAAGCAUUGGUAGGAUCCG